ACGAACGCUGGCGGCGUGCUUAACACCUGCAAGUCGAACGGAAAGGCCCUGCUUUUGUGGGGUGCUCGAGUGGCGAACGGGUGAGUAACACGUGAGUAACCUGCCCUUGACUUUGGGAUAACUUCAGGAAACUGGGGCUAAUACCGGAUAGGAGCUCCUGCUGCAUGGUGGGGGUUGGAAAGUUUCGGCGGUUGGGGAUGGACUCGCGGCUUAUCAGCUUGUUGGUGGGGGAGUGGCUUACCAAGGCUUUGACGGGUAGCCGGCCUGAGAGGGUGACCGGCCACAAUGGGACUGAGAGACGGCCCAGACUCCUACGGGAGGCAGCAGUGGGGAAUAUUGCACAAUGGGCGGAAGCCUGAUGCAGCAACGCCGCGUGCGGGAUGACGGCCUUCGGGUUGUAAACCGCUUUCGCCUGUGACGAAGCGUGAGUGACGGUAAUGGGUAAAGAAGCACCGGCUAACUACGUG
rnacentral:rRNA from 1 species